rnacentral:rRNA from 1 species
AUUGAACGCUGGCGGCAGGCUUAACACAUGCAAGUCGAGCGGGGUGAUGGUGCUUGCACUAUCACUUAGCGGCGGACGGGUGAGUAAUGCUUAGGAAUCUGCCUAUUAGUGGGGGACAACAUCUCGAAAGGGAUGCUAAUACCGCAUACGUCCUACGGGAGAAAGCAGGGGAUCACUUGUGACCUUGCGCUAAUAGAUGAGCCUAAGUCGGAUUAGCUAGUUGGUGGGGUAAAGGCCUACCAAGGCGAGGAUCUGUAGCGUGUCUGAGAGGGUGCUCCGCCACACUGGGACGUGGACAAGGCCCAGACUCCUGCGGGAGGCAGCAGGGGGGAAUAUUUGACAAUGGGGGGAACCCUGAUCCAGCCAUGCCGCGUGUGUGAAGAAGGCCUUAUGGUUGUAAAGCACUUUAAGCGAGGAGGAGGCUCUUUUGGUUAAUACCCAAGAUGAGUGGACGUUACUCGCAGAAGAAGCACCGGCUAACUCUGUGCCAGCAGCCGCGGUAAUAC